rnacentral:lncRNA from 1 species
UUAAAUCAUAAAAAUAUCAAAAUUAAACCAAAAAAUAAUUUUAAUUCAGAAAAUGUAAGGGGAAAAUAUUUAAUUUUUUUGGUGAAAGUCCCAUAUUUUUUGGAUUAAAAAUGAAAUUAAUAUGAACUAAUCAAAAUAAAAGGAUUAAAUUAAAAAUAAAAAAAAUCAAAAAAAACAAGGGUCAUCUGAUUUCCCUCAUUAAUUGAGGUGGCAGAUCAGAU